rnacentral:rRNA from 1 species
UACAGAGGGGGCAAGCGUUAUUCGGAAUUACUGGGCGUAAAGGGCUCGUAGGCGGCCAACUAAGUCAGACGUGAAAUCCCUCAGCUUAACUGGGGAACUGCGUCUGAUACUGGAUGGCUUGAGUUCGGGAGAGGGAUGCGGAAUUCCAGGUGUAGCGGUGAAAUGCGUAGAUAUCUGGAGGAACACCGGUGGCGAAGGCGGCAUCCUGGACCGGCAUUGACGCUGAGGAGCGAAAGCCAGGGAGCAAAGUGGG